rnacentral:lncRNA from 1 species
CACAGGGCUGGAACUCAUCUUCUCAUUCUCAUCUUUCAUUCUAAACCCUGUCAUGUCUCUAGCCUGCUGCCUGUCUGUCUGUCUGUGGUCUACAUCACUUUGAUUUUGAUCUCAUUUGUCUGAGUUGUAUUCUCAUUCCUAAAUGUUUUUUUAUGGCUAUCAAUGUUAUUUGUACCAUUGUGUGAUGUAUAUUGUCUGAUAUGUGGGUGUUUCAAAAGGCCUAUAGUUUGAGGUCCUAAGAAGUGGAGAUCCUAUAUGUGGGUGUUUCCUAAGGCCUAUAUUUUGAGGUCCUAAGAAGUGGAGAUCCUAUGUGUGGGGUUUUUCUAAGAUGACUUUCUUCCCUCCGCAGAAGAAAGGAAACCAGUUAUAGAACGUGUUGAGAAGACACGAGUCAAAGUUCCUGAAGCUGACCGCAGACCAGAGGAGAAACUCUCUGUAGCCCAGCCUCCUGUCCCUGUAGCACCGCCCCCUGUUCAAGUACCUGAAAUCAAGAAGCCUGAACCCCAAGUGAGCCCUGUUCCUUCGCGCAGAGAAGAGGAAACUGCAAUCCCAGAAGGUAACAUUACGGUAUAUUCCAUAUUCUUGGGAUAGAUACAUUAUCCAGCACACUUCAAGAUCACAGUUUGCUAUUGAAAUUCAAAUUAUUCUUAUCCACUCUUUACAUUACAUCUUGUAAUGGUUCUAUCUUGUCAUUAAUAUUGUCACUGCCUAGAGUGAAUCAC